AAUCUUCGGUGGCGUAGGGUAGAGUUACUUCGCCUGUUAAGCGGGAUGUUAUGGGUUCGAGUCCCAUCCGGGAUUA
rnacentral:tRNA from 1 species